GACGAACGCUGGCGGCGUGCUUAACACAUGCAAGUCGAACGGAAAGGCCCUGCUUGCAGGGUGCUCGAGUGGCGAACGGGUGAGUAACACGUGGGUGAUCUGCCCCUUACUUUGGGAUAAGCCUGGGAAACUGGGUCUAAUACUGGAUAGGACCAUGCUGUAGGUGGUGGGGUGGAAAGAUUAGUUUCGGUAAGGGAUGAGCUCGCGGCCUAUCAGCUUGUUGGUGGGGUAAUGGCCUACCAAGGCGUCGACGGGUAGCCGGCCUGAGAGGGUGGACGGCCACAUUGGGACUGCGAUACGGCCCAGACUCCUACGGGCGGCAGCAGUGGGGCAUAUUGCACAAUGGGCGCAAGCCUGAUGCAGCGACGCCGCGUGGGGGGUGACGGCCUUCGGGUUGUAAACUCCUUUCAGCCAUGACGAAGCCCUUGUGGUGACGGUAGUGGUAGAAGAAGCACCGGCUAACUACGUG
rnacentral:rRNA from 1 species